UACGGAGGGUGCAAGCGUUAUCCGGAUUCACUGGGUUUAAAGGGUGCGUAGGUGGGCAUGUAAGUCAGUGGUGAAAUCUCCGGGCUUAACCCGGAAACUGCCGUUGAUACUAUCUGUCUUGAAUAUAGUGGAGGUGAGCGGAAUAUGUCAUGUAGCGGUGAAAUGCUUAGAUAUGACAUAGAACAUCGAUUGCGAAGGCAGCUCGCUACGCUAUUAUUGACACUGAGGCACGAAAGCGUGGGGAUCAAACAGG
rnacentral:rRNA from 1 species